AGUGAACGCUGGCGGUAGGCCUAACACAUGCAAGUCGAACGGCAGCACAGUAAGAGCUUGCUCUUACGGGUGGCGAGUGACGGACGGGUGAGGAAUACAUCGGAAUCUACUUUUUCGUGGGGGAUAACGUAGGGAAACUUACGCUAAUACCGCAUACGACCUACGGGUGAAAGCAGGGGAUCUUCGGACCUUGCGCGAUUGAAUGAGCCGGUGUCGGAUUAGCUAGUUGGCGGGGUAAAGGCACACCAAGGCGACGAUCCGUAGCUGGGCUGAGAGGAGAGUCAGCCACACUGGAACUGAGACACGGUACAGACUCCUACGGGAGGCAGCGGUGGAGAAUAUUGGACAAUGGGCGGAAGGCUGAUCCAACCCUGCCGCGUGGGUGAAGAAGGCCUUCGGGUUGUAAAUCUCUUCUGUUGGGAAAUAAAAGCAGCAGGUUAAUCCCCCGCUGUGAUGACGGUACCAAAAGAAUAAGCACCGGCUAACUUCGUG
rnacentral:rRNA from 1 species